rnacentral:misc_RNA from 1 species
UCCUCUUUACAGAGGCAGUUCGUUCCGAGUCCCCGACUUUACUCGCUGGUAACAGAACGUGAGGGUUGCGCUCGUUGCGGGACUUAACCCAACAUUUCACAACACGAGCUGACGACAGCCAUGCACCACCUGUGUACCACCCUCGAAGGCGACCGCUUUUCGGCGGCUUGCAGGUACAUGUCAAGCCCUGGUAAGGUUCUUCGCGUUGCAUCGAAUUAAGCCACAUGCUCCACCGCUUGUGCGGGCCCCCGCCAAUUCCUUUGAGUUUCAACCUUGCGGCCGUAGUCCCCAGGCGGUUCACUUAAUGCGUUAGCUGCGGCACCGAGGGAAACCCCCCAACACCUAGUGAACAUCGUUUAUGGCCAAGACUAC